GACACAAAAGAUUUUUCGAUCUCAAUUGGAUUACACCAAGGAUCAGUUAUAAGCCCUUACCUUUUUACAUUAGUUUUAGAUGAAUUGACGAAACAUAUACAAGAAAGUAUUCCUUGGUGCAUGAUGUUUGCGGAUGAUAUUGUUCUGAUAGAUGAGACGCGAGAAGGAGUCAAUAGAAAGCUAGAGCUUUGGAGAAGUACUCUAGAGUCAAAAGGCUUUAAGUUAAGUAGAACAAAGACAUAAUACAUGCAUUGCAAGUUCAGUGAAGGCCAAACUAGUGAUAGGGAAGGAGUUAGUUUGGUUGGAGUGGUACUGUCCCAAAGUAAUUACUUUAAAUAUCUCGGCUCAGUCCUUCAAAUAGAUGGGGGAUGUGAGGAGGAUGUUAGUCAUAGGAUUAAAGCCGGAUGGUUAAAGUGGAGACGUGCCACGGGAGUUUUAUGUGAUCGCAAGAUUCCCAAUAAGUUAAAAGGAAAAUUUUACCGUACAGCCAUAUGACCGGCUAUGUUAUAUGGCAGUGAGUGUUGGGCAUUGAAGGAGUCGUAUGCAUCUAAGAUAAGAGUUGCAGAGAUGAGAAUGUUAAGGUGGAUGAGUGGCCAUACUAGACUAGAUAAAGUCUGUAAUUAGAGUAUUAGAGAAAAGAUAGGAGUGGUACCAAUUGAGGAUAAGUUGAGAGAGGGGAGAUUGAGGUGGUUUGGUCAUAUGAAGUGUAGAUAUACGGAGGCUCCAGUUAGACAAGUAGAGCACAUUAGGUUAGAGGAUAGAAAGAAAAAAAAGGGGUAGACCUAAAUUGACUUGGAGGAGAGUAGUACAACAUGACCUAGAAGCAUUAUAAAUUUCUGAGGAUUUAACCCAAAAUCGUUUAGAGUGGAGAAAGCGAAUCCAUAUAGCCGACCCCAAAUUUUUGGGAUAAAGGCUUAGUUGAGUUGAGUUGAGUUGAGUUGAUAUUUAUCAAUGGCAGGAAAAAAAUUUACAAGAUCUUCACUCCCCUAACUUAAAUUUUUAGCUCUACCACCGCCUAUAAGACUAUAACAUAGUGUUUGAUCAUACUUAUUUGGAUUUCCAUGCUUUUAUGACAUUAUGUUUGUAUUGGUGUUUCAGGAAGAUUCAUAUUCAAUUAACUAAAACUGAAGAUGUGUUCAAGGUUUGUUGGCAAGCCAAAUAAAAUGGAGGUAUUGAUUGUACAUAACCAAUGUGCAAGGUUCUUCCUUAAUCCUUAUAUGAUAUAUCACUGCUGCAAGGAGGUUGCAAAUGGCAAUAUAGUGCGUUUUCGAUUCAUGGUAUGUUCAUUGUUAGGCAUUAAAUUAAGGUGAUAGCUGCCUGGUUGUGAUAUUAUUAUUAUUAUUUUCAUAAAUUUGGCCUGCUUUGCUUAGUACAACAAGGAUGGACAUGCUGAUAAAAAUGUUUUUUUUUUUUUCAUUAUUAUUAUUUGUGGAGUUCAAAUGUUAAGUACAAGACUGCAAUAAGAAAUCUUCAGCCCUUGUAGCUUUUAUCUCUUUCGAUU